GAAACACAGGGUAAUACCGGAUACGACCUUUGAAUUGAGGUUUGAAGGGGAAAGUCGCUUAGGCGGCGCCCUGAGCUGAGCCUGCGGCUCAUUAGUUAGUUGGUAGGGUAACGGCCUACCAAGGCGACGAUGAGUAGCCGGCCUGAGAGGGUGAUCGGCCACACUGGGACUGAGACACGGCCCAGACUUCUACGGAAGGCAGCAGCUAAGAAUCUUCCGCAAUGGGGGGAACCCUGACGGAGCGACGCCGCGUGAACGAAGAAGGCCGGAAGGUUGUAAAGUUCUUUUCCUGGGGGAGAAUAAUGCGUGGAGGGAAUGCCAUGCAGAUGACGUGAACCAGGGAAUAAGCCCCGGCUAAUUACGUGCCAGCAGCCGCGGUAACACGUAAGGGGCGAGCGUUGUUCGGAUUUAUUGGGCGUAAAGGGCGCGUAGGCGGUAAGAUAAGUCUGGUGUGAAAAACUUCGGCUCAACCGGAGGUAUGCGCUGGAAACUGUCUUGCUUGAGUGAUGGAGGGGGAACUGGAAUUCCUGGUGUAGGGGUGAAAUCUGUAGAGAUCAGGAA
rnacentral:rRNA from 1 species